rnacentral:rRNA from 1 species
GGUAAACGCUGGCGGCGUGCCUAAAACAUGCAAGUCGAACGGGCACCUUCGGGUGUCAGUGGCAGACGGCUGAGUAACGCGUGGGUGACGUACCUGUUGGUGGGGAAUAACUGCCCGAAAGGGUGGCUAAUUCCGCAUAAGCCCUUCGAUUCAGUUUGGAGGGGAAAGCCGCAAGGCGCCGAUGGAGCGGCCCGCGUCCGAUUAGCUAGCUGGUGGGGUAAGAGCCUACCAGGGCGAUGAUCGGUAGCUGGUCUGAGAGGACGAGCAGCCACACUGG